rnacentral:misc_RNA from 1 species
AGCUGCUUUGUAUUUGUUGUAUUUGAUGGGAAUACAGAAAUAAUCUCUGAAAGUUGAGAGGGGCUUUGUCACUGUCCCUCGGUCAUUCGAUCGCCUAUCUAUUCCAUCAAAUACAACAAAUCUGACGAUUAACCCCUCAUACACGGUAGGAUAAUUUAUAUCAAUAUAUUUUAAUCUUAUGCUUGAAAUAUAUUGAUAUAAAUUAUCCUACCAA